UAUAUAUAUAUAUAUAUAUAUAUAUAUAUAUAUAUAUAUAUAAUUUAUAGAUAAAACGGGGUGACAUGGUGUGCUGUACUCCCAUUCUGAUAAAUAUGUUAAGAUACAUGUUUUAUUAUACAGGGUUAGAUUUUAUAUUUGUUUUUAACAAACGUUUGUUUGUUUGUAUUUGUUCGUACUUGUUCUUUUUGACGGGCCACGUGGACUGACUGACCUACCGACCCUUGUUAAAUAGCAUAGUGGUUAGAGAAGCGGACAUGUGAACUAUAGGUCCUGAGUUAGUAUCUCCUUGCAGGCGAAGCGAAGUACGCAUUGUGAAUUAUUCUGUAUUUUGACUAAAACUUUGCUGGCUAAAACUGAAACCUGACAUUGUAUACGGUUAUAUUGCGACUGUUUCUGGCUUGGAAGAGUUCAUCUUCAGUCUCGCUAGCAAUUGCUCAAUUCUUAUGAUUAUUCCUAAGAAGUUAGUUGAUAACAAUAAGCCUAUUACUUGCUAAUAAGCUAUUCAAACGCCCAGUGGCAAAAGCUAACAGCUCAUAGACGCUAUUUCUGGUGGAGGUAAAAUUAGUAAGAAACUUUAAUCAGUUUAACUGUAUUAAUAUCAUUCACAAAUGGCCAAUUAGCUGUUAAAACAGCCAGUGGCAAAAGAGGAUUUGUUCAUAGACACGAGGUUAUACUGACACCCACUAGAAGAUCAGCUCUGUGGUGUAGUGGUUCGUGCCAAAGCAUUUUACAUGGGCGAUCCGGGAUCAAAUCUCAAGAGGGCAAUACUUUCUAUUGCCUUCCGGCUGAACUAGGCUUGCCUGGUUUCUUGUUUUUCAAUACGUUUAAAUAAGAGUCAAGCACCAUGUCAAAUUGAGUUGUAGUGGAUUUGUGUUUACUUCAUAUUGGCAAGUAGAAACACUUUCACCUGUAUGUAAAAAACAAAACCGUUAACAUAUGGGAAGUUUCAAUACCCUUCUAAUUCGAAAGCCAUCAGGUAGUUUUAAAGUGGAACUUGAUGAUGCCUCAAACUGACUGUCAAACAGUUAUUGUUAUAUUCUUUCUGUCUUUCUGGUGGAUUAAACAAAAAAAGGUUAGGCAAUUUGGUGCUCCUUCCGUUGAACUCAAUGUCAUCUAACCCAGAUUCCUGGGAAGUUUGAAAUAGUGUUUUUCACCUCAGGGGAACUAGGUUUAGAUAAGGAUCAAUGUUCUGUUUUUGGACAUGAGAAUUUUACAUACAUGUACCUGCAGAGAAAUGGAAAAUAUUUAGUUGUGUUAUGAAGGUUCCAUUUAAAGUCAACAGACUUAUGUCCUGUUACUCUACUUAAAAUUAAAAGAAGCAUCUCAAUGCUGUUACAUAACUGUUCGAAUUAGAAUGCUCUGAAUUAAUAAUAUAAUGGCCAUAUCUCAACUAGAUUUACACUGAAUGGCCUUUCUAAAUUGCAUAUCUUUCAAUGGAGGACUUUCUUGCGGUAAAGAUAAUCAUUGACCUCUGUCAAAACAUUCUCAUCACCUUGUGCAUUUUAACCUCUUUACCAACUACUGUGCUUUGAUCAGUGUAUGGUGUGACCAUUACUUGUUAUUACAGCUCCAAACUGGCCUGGGGUCUAUUUUUGCCUUUGAAUGUCAAUGUUCAGCUGUAGUGAUAACGAUGUGCUGUACCUCUGCUUGUAGCUUGGCCCUUCUAAGAUGUACUCUUUCCUCUAUUCUUGGCAUCCAAUACACACAGUGUGGUACAUGCUCCAAGAUGGUUCUAACCAUCAGGUCUGUAACAUAGGAUGAGUUCAAUUCUUCAAUGGUUCAUCCUUACAUAAAAUACAUGUUAAGUAUUUUGAAAACCCUAAAAAGUUUUCCCCAGUACCUUCAUUCUGAAGAGGGAGUUUGAAAAGCCAAUAUAUACCAUUAAAAUACAAUUUAUUUGAAGUUUGUUAUGUAUUUUGUAUUUACUUACAGUUUUUGGUAAUAUAUUCUAUUGUGC
ensembl:lncRNA